rnacentral:rRNA from 1 species
UACGUAGGGCGCAAGCGUUGUCCGGAAUUAUUGGGCGUAAAGAGCUCGUAGGCGGUCUGUCGCGUCCGUUGUGAAAACUCAAGGCUCAACCUCGGGCUUGCAGUGGAUACGGGCAGACUAGAGUGCGGUAGGGGAGACUGGAAUUCCAGGUGUAGCGGUGAAAUGCGUAGAUAUCUGGAGGAACACCGGUGGCGAAGGCGG